UCUUCUGUCCAUUUAAGUGAAUACCAAUGACUGUGCAUUUGCCUCGGGUCACCUCUCCUAUCUAUCUAUCCCUGCAGCAUCUGGCCCCAGCUCUGUCCAUGCCCUCGCUGCCUGGUUCUCACACCACUGCAACUUCUUCCAGCCCGUUGCCUGCCUCUAGGCUCAGCUGUAGACAAUUCACUCUCCCUUGCUGCCAAGUCAGCUUCCUAAAGCACAGAUUCCAAAAGUCACAUGUUUCUCAGAAAUCUUCGCUAGCUCCUAAUUGCCUACAGGAUAACACUGAACCUACUCAGCUUGUGAUUUAAGGCUUUUUGUGACCUGGCGCUACCACCUACUCUGUCCUGAUGCCAUCAUUCUCUGCUUUGUUUGAAUCAGGAGGAAACCUGCUUCCUGAAAAACAAGUUCCUGGAUACAAAAGGGGAUACCUUCCUUGGUGGUAGUCUCCAUGAAGACCCACUCAACAUCGCUGGCCUCAAAAUGAAAGGAAAACAAGGCAGGAGAACAGGUGGGAAGAACUAUAUGGACUCAUAGUGUCCACUGUGGGGAAGGAAAAGUGAAAAUGGGUAAAAAGAGUCACAGAAGCAAAAGAGCCACCACCGCACGCCGUGCCGAAGGAGACACCACUCUUUCCUGGGUAACCCCACUGCCUCGCUCCCCUCCAUGCCUGAGAAUGUCAUUGUUGCCCUUCAUAUCUUCACUGGCGAACCAGGGGGCAAGGAUGGGGCGCUGCAGCAAGGAAGGCGGGGCAGUGGGGACUGGCUGGGCGGGGGCAGUCUACCAGCCUGAAGAUCUGCACUUAGGGCUUCAGGGAGAGAGUUCUCCAUGGGCAAAGCUCUGUGAUGGGCUUUGGAUGGAGCUGAUAACAAUCUAAGCUAAAGUCAAAGAGAGAGGCCAAGACUUCCCACACCUUUCCACCUGUUCUCUGGCUCACCUGUCACCUCUCCCUUUCCUAUCAAAAGCGUUGCUCUUCACAUCUCUUCAAUAUCCCCUCUUGUUUUUUUUUGGGUCACCUCUUGGGAUUUUCAUCUAAAAACGGGGCUCUGCAAUCGCCACUUUCCCUGGGCUCAUUGGCCCUGUCUCACUGUCUGUCCUGACCUCAGCAGGCCUCCCCCAUGAGAGACGUUGCCAGCCAUCCUCAGGGUGACCAGUGGCAAGGCCACUGCAGAUGGCUGUCUUUGCCCCUUGGUUAACUAACUCUGCAGAAAUCCCUGUAGUCGAUGGCAGAUGAUUUCUACAUGCUGGGAAGCCCAAAACAUGAAAUCUACCUCAAAGUGGGCUGUGGCACCAGCAGGUCUCCUGGAGCACCCUGCUAGGCCAUGGAUCCUUAGGCUUCCAAAUGUACCCCUGGCCCCAUUGCUGCACACCACGGAGCCUGGUGCUGCUGGGGACUGUGCAGAGCACAGGAUCUGCUCCAUGUUGUAAACCUCAGAUCAUAAUUGCUGCCUCAUAAAGGGGUAAGUCCUCCCAGCCAGCUGCUUCUCACAGCACAGGACUCUCCAGGACGCUGAUAACUCCUUGUACUUUUCUAAAUAGACACGUACAUUGAGUUUGAGAAUGAAAAUAUGUUGUGACCUAGUAAAUACAACCUC